GAGGCGGGUCAUUACCGAGUUUACACUCCCAACCCAAUCUGUGAACGUUACCAAACUGUUGCCUCGGCGGGGUCACGCCCCGGGUGCGUCGCAGCCCCGGAACCAGGCGCCCGCCGGAGGAACCAACCAAACUCUUUCUGUAGUCCCCUCGCGGACGUAUUUCUUUACAGCUCUGAGCAAAAAUUCAAAAUGAAUCAAAACUUUCAACAACGGAUCUCUUGGUUCUGGCAUCGAUGAAGAACGCAGCGAAAUGCGAUAAGUAAUGUGAAUUGCAGAAUUCAGUGAAUCAUCGAAUCUUUGAACGCACAUUGCGCCCGCCAGUAUUCUGGCGGGCAUGCCUGUCCGAGCGUCAUUUCAACCCUCGAACCCCUCCGGGGGAUCGGCGUUGGGGAUCGGGACCCCUCACACGGGUGCCGGCCCCUAAAUACAGUGGCGGUCUCGCCGCAGCCUCUCCUGCGCAGUAGUUUGCACAACUCGCACCGGGAGCGCGGCGCGUCCACGUCCGUAAAACACCCAACUUUCUGAAAUGUUGACCUCGGAUCAGGUAGGAAUACCCGCUGAACUUAAGCAUAUCAAAUAAAGCGGAGGA
rnacentral:rRNA from 1 species